GACGAACGCUGGCGGCGUGCUUAACACAUGCAAGUCGAACGGAAAGGCCCUGCUUGCAGGGUGCUCGAGUGGCGAACGGGUGAGUAACACGUGGGUGAUCUGCCCCUUACUUUGGGAUAAGCCUGGGAAACUGGGUCUAGUACUGGAUAGGACCAUGCUGUAGGUGGUGUGGUGGAAAGAUUAGUUUCGGUAAGGGAUGAGCUCGCGGCCUAUCAGCUUGUUGGUGGGGUAAUGGCCUACCAAGGCGUCGACGGGUAGCCGGCCUGAGAGGGUGGACGGCCACAUUGGGACUGGGAUACGGCCCAGACUCCUACGGGAGGCAGCAGUGGGGAAUAUUGCACAAUGGGCGCAAGCCUGAUGCAGCGACGCCGCGUGGGGGAUGACGGCCUUCGGGUUGUAAACUCCUUUCAGCCAUGACGAAGCCCUUGUGGUGACGGUAGUGGUAGAAGAAGCACCGGCUAACUACGUG
rnacentral:rRNA from 1 species